rnacentral:rRNA from 1 species
UACGGGGGGAACAAGCGUUGUUCGGAUUUACUGGGCGUAAAGGGCGCGUAGGCGGCCAGCGCAAGUCAGUUGUGAAAUCUCCGGGCUUAACUCGGAAAGGUCAACUGAUACUGCGCGGCUAGAGUGCAGAAGGGGCAACUGGAAUUCUCGGUGUAGCGGUGAAAUGCGUAGAUAUCGAGAGGAACACCUGCGGCGAAGGCGGGUUGCUGGGCUGACACUGACGCUGAUGCGCGAAAGCCAGGGGAGCGAACGGG